GGACAGAGGGAAAGAUAAACCACUGGAGAAAGGGUCGGCAGACCUCCCCCUUCCUCCCUGAUAUUGUGGUCCAGGCAAACCCCCAACAUUCCCUGGUUCCCUGGCUCUGUGACAUCACAGCCUCCUCUCUUCUCUGCCAGUUACAGGUGAGUGAGCCUCAAAGGUCAGACCUCAGAGCAGGACGGAGUAUUUUUUCUGUACUUAAAGGGACAAUGUCUCCAUCACUCCCGGACACCUUUGCUAUAAGAAGCAGACAUUACCCCUAAUUUGCCUCGACUCCACUGUUUCUGUCUCUGGGCCCCAGUCUCCCCACCUGUGCCGACUGACCCCUAAGGGCUCCUCCAGCUCCAGAAGCCUUCCUGUUUGACCUCGCUGGGUCUUUCUUGUUCUGGUCCAAGUGCUGUGGGUCACUGGAGACCUGAGGCUCACAGCCCACUGGGCAUAACCCAAGAGGCUUUUUCUUUGGCUCCUGCCUCCAUCUAGAGGCAGGCACUGGUAGUGCAAGAAACCGCGCACUCCUGGCCCGCCCCAGCCAGCGUCAAUUCAACUCAUUUCUUCGCAUCAGCAUUUAUGUUUGUGGAGCUUUGGCAAUAUGCCAGGCAGCUGUGCUAAGCACUUUCCAUCAUUAUUUAAUCCCCGCAACCACAUUUUAGGGUAGAUGCUAUUAUCGUCAUCCCCAUUUUACAGAUACGAAACCUGAGGUUCAAGGGAGUUAAAUUCUUCUAAAUUUCAUAGCUUACUAAGUAGGGGAUCUUUAAUUAUUAUCCCCCAAAGAAUGUGCCUGUCACUGCUGCAAUACCUCCCUUAAGAGCCUUUCCAUUUCUGAAGAGGGCUCAAAAGUUCAACACUCUUUGCUACUAAGACUGAAAGGAGAAAGUGUUUUUCUACUCCCCUCUUUUUCUCAUGAAAUUUCUGGCCAGAGUAAACAUAUGGAAAGUAUUGACACUAGAUUUAGACAAACCUACAUUUCAGCCCCUGGUGAACACCUAAUAUGGAAUUUUGUAUGUAUGUAUUUGUAUGUACGUAAGCUAUUUGUAUGUAUGUAAGGCUCCAGGCUAUUUGUAUGUAUGUAAGCUGCUGCAGAGAAAGAGCCCCCCACUCAAUGUGUGAAACAAAAACUGAAUUUAUUUUGGGUUAAACAAGGGAGAAUUGAGCUUUUAUGACAAAGUCUCGGAACAAAGCUAAGCGCUAAUAUAUAACAAGUGCGGGAGGGUGUUGCGUUCACGGAAGGUGGCAUUUCAGAGGCAGGAGUGCUUGGGAAUGGUAGACCAUGAACUGGGAAAGUGUACCUACUAUUAUGUGUCUCUUACUUUGGGGAGAAUGGUCACCGAGGCAAAGUUUUGUUAAAAGAUUAAAUGACUUUAAAACAGGUUCUGGGGCUUACCUGUUACCAUGGUUACAGAGCAAUCAGUCUUUACUUAGGAGACUGGGACCUUCUUUUUUCUCCUUAGUCUCCCCCUUUUUGGUCCUCCCUCAACCAAAGCUGCAGGAGAGACCCUCAGGAAUUGUGCAGAUCUUCACCACUGUUGUCCACUUUCCUUGAAGACACAGUUCCACCUUUCCACCUACAGAGAUCUGAUGUUCAGUUUGAGCAUUAGCCAGCCUGAUGCCUUUUGGUUUUGUCUUUGAAUCAUCCGUGGAGCUCUACGUUGGGCCAGUGGCCGCAUAAAAUCAUUUGACUCUCUGGACAGCAGCCAGUAAAUGACUGUGAGGCAAACAACAAUCAUUAAAAGGUUUUUAAGUUUUAGAUUAAAUCAUUAGAUCAAUUAAAAGAAGGAUCUGGAAGGCAUUCCAGAAUCAUCAUCCACAAUCUCCUAGGCGUGACCUAGAAAAGAAAUUCCAAAUCAUUCUCUGUGUCUGCUUUAGAUAGUCAGGUUGCCUUUCUUUGGGCUUAGAAACCUCACCUGUGGUAUUAAUCCAGGUACACCAUGAGGAGCUAGCAAAGGUGCAUGCUCUCCCUGAUUAGCCAAAAUAAAAUCCAAAGGUGUUCUAUUACCCACAAUUACUUGAGCUAAGGAAUUUUGAUUGGUUGGUUGGUGUUCCAUCGCGUGGGCUGUAUUAUUUAAUUUACUAUGUCAGCCAAGAUGAGAGAAAAUGAGCACCUUGAGUUGUCCAGCCCGUACAGAGACCUCACUGUCCUCAGAAUAGGCCCAUCUAUUGGUACUGAUAGCCCCAUCCAAGUUUUUCUUGUUUCCAGUGUUGUGUAAGACAACACAGUCUGCUGAGGGCGUUGGGAGUUGUACACUUGGAAUGGUCAACUCUUCAUCACCCAGAAUAGUCUCAGUUCUAGUUGGAGUGGAAGAAUCUGGUUUCCACAUAGGAAACAAAUCAUGUCAACCAGUGGUAUUGUUGUCUGUCUGUAGUUAUCAACAAUUCCCCUUGAGAAUUUAGAGGAAGGAUAAGAAUGUAUUGAGUGUUAAGGUCUCCUCAGAGUAGCAUCACUGGACAGACUUGGAGAGCUGUCCUCCUACCAUUAUGGAACAUGAAUUCCUCCAAUGGGUUCCUGCUUACCGUAAAUACGAGGGUCCUUAUCAACAGACUCCACGUUCGUUAUGGACAGAGGAGUUUUGACCUUGUUUUUAUUUUAGAAGUCCGUUGUUUUCUCCAAAAGGCCAUUUCUGGUUGAUUUUUUAGGACUCUUUGAAAAUGAUCAGGAGAUCUAAGUUGGCAUUUCACCUCCUAAUUUAUUUUAUCUAAGUCCUCUAUUUCAAGACUGAGCCUUUCGCAAAGAGAGAAGAAAAGGCUCCUUUACUUAAGCUGUUGGUCGCCCUAGAAUGUUCUUUGAAAGUGUCCUGAAGUCCAUUAAAGUCUCCUGGUAAUUCAUCUUGAGUUUGUUUGCAAUUUUGGAUCUUUGCCCGAUCUACCCUUGGGGAAAAGAUUUUUGAAAUAGUUUUAUGUGGUACCUUUUCUAUUUUUCUUCUCAAGUCCACUUUUUUGAAUUCUGUGUAGGUGGGUUAUUUAAAUCUUGUGGUCUUUUCCAUCCUGCUGCUCUUAAACAUUUUUCCCCAUCGCUGAAGGUCAACCAUUAAGUGAACUGACUGGUACAGACACAGGAGUCAAUAAGUAGCAGGAUAACUAGCAGAAUCCUGAGUUAUACAGCAGCUUUCUGUCAUUCUGAAAUUUGGGGUGAUCCUAUAUAUUCACCCUCAGCUCAACUCUCAUGCAGGGUUUGAAUUCAACCUCUCUGGACCCACCUCCUGGUACAGGAGUUUUCAGGGGAUAUUGUGCAGUGUUGAUUGUUCUUUUCUACAGAAAUGAAGGGAAUUUAUUUAAGCAGUCACGGGAAGGAAUAGAAAGAGUGUAAGUAGGUGGUAACGAUAAAGCUGGGUGGAGAGAGAGAAAGAGAUGUAAAGAAAGCAGGUUUCAGAAGGUUUGAGUAGGAGUACGUCUUUUUUUUCCCCUUCUUUCUUUCUUUCUGAGGCCAGAACAUACCAAUCAAAGACGCUCUCUACUGAAUAUGUGGUGUUUUUGUCUUCUCUCUUCUCUAGAGUCCCUCUUAAAUCUCAUACUUUUGACAUGAAAGGUUUCCCUUAGUGCCCAUAAUUCCAAGUCAUCUGGUUAAACUUUCCCAUCUAUUAACAUAAACGUUAACACACAUGAAAGUACACGUAUUGAGGGUAUAUAUGUGAAGCAGGAGUUGUUGUUUUGUUUUGUUUUUGUUUUGUUUUGUUUUGUUUUCAGGAAAAGGCAGCAACUUUAAGGUAGAUAAGACCAUGACAAACAGCAGAGAUCACAUUACAGUUGACCACAGUUAUACAUGGUGUCUUGAAUUCUGUGGCCUCACAGAGCCUAAAAGAGGCCAUCUGAUCACCAACCUGGAAGUCACUGACUCCUGAAUAUAGGCUGAGUAAAGUGACAUUAGCUACUUUCAUUAGGUUAACAAGACAGAACACGUGCUCGUGAAGGUUUGGAGGCACCCGAGGCAGAGGCUUAGCAAUCACACUCACACAAAUUGAUCACCACCUAACAGACCUCCAACCGUUAGUCCUUGGGGCUGAGGGUUGUGGUGAGCCCUUGCCACACCUCUGCUUUCACUCCUUCCUUAGGAAACACCUCCCUCUACAUUCAACAUACAUGAGGCAAUCUGGAACAAAGCAAAACCCCACGAGGCAAGAAUUUAUAUGAAGGAAAUUGAAACGAAAGCAAACAGCAGAAGAAUAAGUAUAUUAAUGGCAAGCAUACUUGCUAAAUGGUGCAUCUCCUAAACAAAAUACCUAAUUGCCUUAAAUAAAUCUCUCUUUUUUAAAAAUUUUUUGUCAAGUUAGCUAACAUACAGUGUAGUCUUGGCUUCAGGAGUUGAUUCCCAUGAUUCAUCAGUUACACACAACACUCAGUGCUCAUCCCAGCAAGGGCCCUCCUCAAUGCCCAUCACCCAUUUUCCCCAUCCCCCAGCUCCCCAUCCCCAUCAACCCUCAUUUUGUUCUCUGUAUUUAAGAGUGUCUUAUGGUUUGCCUCCCUCUCUGUUUGUAUCUUAUUUUUCCUUCCCUUCUCCAUGGUCUUCCGUUAAGUUUCUCAAAUUCCACAUAUGAGUGAAAACAUAUGAUACCUGUCUUUCUCUGAUUGACUUAUUUCACUUACCAUAAUACCCUCCAGUUCCAUCCACAUUGUUGCAAAUGGCAAGAUUUCAUUCUUUUUCAUCGCUGAGUAAUACUCAAUUGUGUACAUAUACCACAUCAUAUUAAUCCAUUCAUCAGUAGAUGGACAUUUAGGCUCUUCCCAUAUUUUGGUUAUUGUUGAUAACACUGCCAUAAACAUUGGGGUCCAUGUGCCCCUUUGAAUCAGCAUUCCUGUAUCCUUUGGAUAAAUUCCUAGUAGUGCUAUUGCUGUGUCAUAGAGUAAUUCUAUUUCCAAUUUUUUGAGAAAACUCCAUGCUUUUCCAGACCGGCUGCACCAGUUUGCAUUCCUACUGACAGUGCAAGAGGGUUCCCCUUUCUCCACAUCCUUGCCAACAUCUGUAGUUUCUUGAUUAGUUCAUUUUAGCCACUCUGACCAGUGGGAGGUGGUAUCUUAGUGUGGUUUUGAUUUGUAAAUUUCUAUCUGUUCAUAAAUCCUAAGAAGAUACAAUAAAUUCAUUAAAGAGAGCUCAAGGAAAUAUAUCAGAGCUCAAAUCAUGUGGAAAAACUCACUGGGCAGAAAAUCCAAAAGGCUAUUAGAGAUGGGGGCUAAAUGGCCCCAAGGAGUACUACUUUGGUCCAAGGAUCCCACAAAAUGGAGAUAUUUGUAUGUGUCUAGGCUGCUGGAUGUAUCUAGCCACAAUAUAUAAAUUGUGCUGUAUCAAAUACAGUACAUGCCAGAAGUUAAAGAUUUUGUAUUAAUUGAAGGGGUCCAGGGUAAAAGAAACAAAGACAUCACUUAGGAGGCUGUUGUUCUGCUUUAGGCAAGACAUAAUGGUGGCUUGGGCCAGGGGACAGCAGUAGAGAGAGUGAGAAGCAAACACUCACGAGUGUGGCAGCUCACAUAGAGAAUUGGCUUGUGAGGGACAUCAGCCGAUACCAUGAUAAGAAUUUCCUUGGGGGCGCCUGGGCAGCUCAUUUGGUUGGGCAUCUGACUUCAGCUCAGGUCUUCAUCUCGCAGUUUGUGGAUUCGAGCCCCGCCUUGGGCUCUGUGCUGACAGCUGGAGGCUGCUUCAAGUUCUGGGUCUCCCUCUCUCUCUGUCCCUCCCCUGCUCAUGCUCUGUCUCUGUUUCUCAAAAAUAAAUAAAUGUUGAAAAAAAUUUUUUUAAUGAAAGAAGAAUGAAAGAAAGAAAGAAAGAAAGAAAGAAGAAAGAAAGAAAGAAAGAAAGAAAGAAAGAAAGAAAGAAAGAAAGAAGAAAGAAAGAAAUAUCUGGUAGCAAUGUUGAAAAAAGAAUUUCCUAAAAGGGGGUCUUGCCACAGAAAGGCAAGUGAGAACUGGAAGCAUUCAGAGACAAAGGAAUUGGUGACUAAAGCAAGGUUUUAUAAUUCUGGACCAUCAGAACUAGAAAGAUCCUUGAAGAUAUCAUCUAGCCUAACUUCCUGUUAUUAUUGAUGGGGCUCCUGAAAUGCAGAGACACACGUGGACUUAGCCACAGCCAGUGAGCAAGUUGGUGGCAGGACCAGGACCUAAACCUGCAAGACUGUGCUUCAUUGCCAUGUUCCCCUGGGACCUGGGCCAACUGGAGUAUUUUGGAGCCAGUGAGCCACAUAAAGGGAAGGGAAAUGGAAUGAUCAUUGACUGCACACUUAUUGUGACUUUUCAUAUACUUAGUCCUUUACUUUUUCUGCAAGUAGGCACUGCGCUCCCAUUUUCUCCAUGAAAAAAUUGAGGUUCAAGAAAGUUAAGGAAUCUACCCAAGAGAAUGCACCCAGAACUGGGGUUGAACAUGGAUCAACCUAAAAACUGGAUGCUCGUGUGCGUGAGCCUGGAUGUUAUGGUAGGGGGAUCCUAUCUAGAGUGUGAGCACAGAUAAAGGACUAGCAUUUUUCAACCACAGUCUUAUGUUUAUUUAGGAAACAGCCCUGCCCAGGGAACUGGGUUCAAAUUCAAGGUUAGCUGACUCAACAAGGCGCCCCUACAGGCGAAGCUGGCAGAGUAAAGGCUUCAACUCUUCUCCAUGGGUAAGGAAAUUUUGCAUAGAAUGGGAAAAAUAAUUUUAAAAGAGGACAGCCUAGGCAGAAGGGCCUGGAUCUGCUGGCCAUGGGGAGCUAUGCAAGAUUUGGGAGGGAGGAAGGCUAUUAUAUCUUGGGAGAGGUUGACCCAGUAAUGACCCCCAUCACAGUGAAUUUCCAGUGGGCAUCUGGAGUUCAGAUCCCAGAAACCAUGGCCCCCAUUCCUUCACCUCUUACAGCAGCCCACCAAAACUUGGCUUCGAAGAUCUUCUGUUUGUGCUGCAGAGACUGUGAGGACCCCCGGGCCAUGGAUGACCCCAAGGCCCCCAGUGAACCCCAGGAUCAGCAGCCAUCCACCUGCAGUAGGUACCAGACAAGGACACACCGUCCAGCCUCUCUAGACCUCAGUUUUUUCAUCCCCCUUCUGCUGUGAUACCCUCAGGUUUCCUUCAGCCUUUGAGUGAUAAUUCCAACCUAAAAUUAAGUGGGAACUGGGUGGUUUCCUAACGCAAACCAAUAAACAAUAGGCAGGGAGGCCGGUCAGUUGUCUGUCACGGUCCCAUCAGGAAAUGGAGCAGUUUAACAGCAUGAGAAAAAUUCUCAUGACAUAUUCUUCCAGAAAAUCCAUGGUGAGGGUCUUUAAAAUACUCCCCCAGGAAAUAAUUUCACAAUAAAAACUGAGGACCUUAAAAAUGUCAAUCCAUUUUUCCAAGAUAAUAAUAAUGGUGGGGCGCCUGGGUGGCUGAGUCUGUUGGGCGUCCAGCUUCGGCUCAGGUCAUGAUCUUGUGGGUCGUGGGUUCGAGCCCUGUGUCAGGCACUGUGCUGACAGUUUGGAGCCUGAAGCCUGCUUCUGAUUCUGUGUUUCCCUCUCUCUCUGCCCCUCCCCCAUUCAUUCUCCCUCUCUCUCUCUCAAAAAUAAAUAAACAUUAAAAAAAUGUUUUUAAUAAUAAUAAUGGUAAUGACUGAGACCUUCUUACUUACAAAGCACUGUCUAGGCACUAGGGAGCCCACUGUGAUCAGAUAAGUCCCCUACUAUAUCAGAGCUGACACUGGAGAAAAGCGAUAUUAUCUGAUGUAACUCUAAGAAGGGGACGUGAUUAUCCAAAAUGGAUGUGUCAUUUUGUAGCUCUGAGAACAGAGGCAUGGGAGGGGAGCAGUUUGCUGUACUUGUGCAGCUAGCAAAGGACAGAGGUAUUUAUUACAGAACACAGUUCAGUCUGUUGACAGACUCCUAUGCUAUACCUUUAAGAAUUUAGAAUUAUGGGGCACCUGGGUGGCUCAGUUGGUUAAGUGUCCAACUCGAUUUCAGCUCAGGUCAUGAUCUCAUGGUUCUUGAGAUCGAAACCCAUAUGAGGCUCUGCGAUGUGCAUCAAGCCUGCUUGGGAUUCUCUCUCUCCCUCUUUCUCUUGCUCCUCCCCCCCCACUCUCAAGCGUGUGCUCUCUCUCAAAAUAAAUAAACAUUAAAAAAAAGAAUUUAGAAUUAUAUAAAAACAAAGCCUUAUAUACAACAAUGUUCACCAUAAUAGUAUUUAUAGUAGUGAAAAACAAUUUAAACACCCAACAAUAGAAUAUUGAUUAAAUAACUCUUGAAUUAUCUGCAAAAUAGAAUAUUAUACAACCAUCAUUUGUUAAAAUUUAGUGGCCUGAGAAGAAUGUUUAUGACAUAACGUGUAUGAAAAAAGGAAAAUGCAUACAUGACAUGUAAGAUAUGAUGGACUGUGUAAAAGUAUGUGUGAGAAAAGACCAGAACUGUGAUUGCAUCUGAGAGGCCAGGAGUUUGGGUCAUUUCUAUUUCUACUUCAUAUUCUUCAAUCUUUCCUAGCUUUUCUAUAAUGGAUAUGCAUUAGCAUUUAUAAACAGGGUGGGGGGAGGUAAACUUUGUGUUUUAAAAAGAGUACAUAGUUUGAACCCAGCAUGUGCUUAGGGGGAGCACUUGGAAGACUGGAGGAGGGAGAUCCAGGUGGUCCCCGCCCCCAUGACAACCACCACUGGCUCGCGUGCACUGACUCAAGGUUGGCAACGUACCUUCACUUCCAUCACCUCCCCCGAGCCUCCCCACCUGACUGUGUGGAAUUAUCACCGCCAGGUUUGCAGAAGGAGGGGCUGGACAGCAAGAAUUCGAAGCAUGCUAAUGAAGCCUCCCACUCGCCUUUGGGACAACCUCUGAUCCACCCAGAAAAGAGAGCCUCCACCACCAGCAACAAUGAGUAUGAAGGUGAGUUCCACAUUGGGGUCCUAACACUGACCAGGAACCCCCAUUGUGCUGAUGACCAAGCCCCAUUGAUCUUUGAGCUAAACUAAGUGUGGUGAUAGGAGAGAGAGGACCACGCCCUCCAGGAAGCUUCGGUCAUUCUAGAACACACUGGAGCAAUUCCAGGAGUCUGCUAGGAAUUACGUGAGGAGCAAUAGGUCUGGGAGGAAAGAGCACACAUCCACGCUUCUCUUCUAAGCCCUUGGGGUCUUAUCUUACACGUCUAUUUUGUGUGGCUGUUGCUUUUGUGUCUGCUUUGGCCACUAGACGGUAAGUCCCAGGAGGACAGCUGUGUUCCCCCAAACCCCACAAGGUGCAUGGCAAGUAAACAAGGCCAGAAAAUGCUUGUGGGCUGAGUAUAGUUGGGGGUGAAACGCCUCAGGGUCACGGAAGAAAGAUAGAAGUCCAGUCCAGGAAGAAGAGACGUCGCCACAUUGCUGGGCACCCACACUGCCCGGGUGAUGUCACUUAGCUCACAAGCACCCUCUGAGGCUGCUGCUAAGAGCUAAGGACGAGCCCAGCCCCCGCAUUUCAGGAUUCGCAAAAACAGCUACACCGUCCUUGCAAACAAAGUCUCACACAAAGUCCCAUUGUUAUAAAAGACAGAAGGGCUCCCGCUGCACUUGAAUCGAGGGUCAGGCCUGGGAGCCCCACUAGCUCCACCACCCGCUCCCUCUCACCUCCCAACCCCCACAGGGCUCCAUGGAACACAGUUUAAAAACCCACCUCUCUUGGGGCACCUGGGUGGCCUAGUUGGUUGAGCAUCUGACUUCGGCUCAGGUCAUGAUCUCACAGUUCAUGAGUUCAAGCCCCGUGUCGGGCUCUGUGCUGACAGCUUGGAGUCUGCUUUGGAUCCUCUGUCCCUCUCUCUCUGCCCCUCCCCUGCUCAUGUGCUCACUUCCUCUCUCUCUCAAAAAUAAACAUUAAAAAAAUUCUUAAAAAAUAAGUCACCUCUCAUUGUAUAGAGAAAACUGAGGCCCACAGGGGAAAGGGACUUUCCCAAAGUCCACCCAGGAAGUAAGGUUAGUGUUAGAAGCAGAUUGGGUCCGAUCCUCUUACCUUCCAGGCCUCUGCUCCGUGCAAGGCCCCCAACCAUCACUGAACACACCAAUGAAUUACAAACGCAGAACCUACUGGCAUGGCCCUGCCACCAAGGACUUACGAGUCCGGCCUGGGGGUCCACGUGGCUCACACGGUAUUCCAGGACCCGACCAUGAUCAGGGAUGGAGGUGGCUGGGGCGGUGCAUCCAAGCCCAGUGCGAAGGUUCCACCCGGCAUCGUAACCGGUUCCUUUCUGCUUGCAGAACUGAAUACACACUCCCAAAGAGGUUUCUGCAAGAGAAACCUAAACCGCUACUCCCGGGACCGCUGGCCAUUCCAGCCGUGUCACAUCGGGAGGCCCUGAGCAUUCUAGACCGCCACUCCCACGCGGGCCUCCCAGGCUGCGGGCCGCUGGGGUGUCUCCGGAAGGAAGAGGCAGUGAGCAGGGGCCAUGAAGACGGAUUCAGAAACUCCCCCGGGAGGAGAAGACGUCUGAGCCACCCCUGUGCCACCAGCAGGAGUCACUCCAGCUCCUGAAAAAGCCACUGUGGAGGGAGCUGUUUCCAAUUAAAGCCCUUGGUGAUAUC
rnacentral:lncRNA from 1 species